rnacentral:rRNA from 1 species
UACGAAGGGGGCUAGCGUUGCUCGGAAUCACUGGGCGUAAAGGGUGCGUAGGCGGGUCUUUAAGUCAGGGGUGAAAUCCUGGAGCUCAACUCCAGAACUGCCUUUGAUACUGAAGAUCUUGAGUUCGGGAGAGGUGAGUGGAACUGCGAGUGUAGAGGUGAAAUUCGUAGAUAUUCGCAAGAACACCAGUGGCGAAGGCGGCGACCUGGACCUGUGCUGACGCUGAGGCGCGAAAGCGUGGGGAGCGAUCCGG